rnacentral:rRNA from 1 species
UACGAAGGCAGCGAGCGUUGUUCGGAGUUACUGGGCGUAAAGGGUGUGUAGGCGGUUGUUUAAGUUUGGUGUGAAAUCUCCCGGCUCAACUGGGAGGGUGCGCCGAAUACUGAAUGACUCGAGUGUGGGAGAGGUGAGUGGAAUUCCUGGUGUAGCGGUGAAAUGCGUAGAUAUCAGGAGGAACACCGGUGGUGUAGACGGCUCACUGGACCAUAACUGACGCUGAGACACGAAAGCGUGGGUAGCAAACAGG